UUGAAACGCUGGUUCCCGUAAGAUCACCCAAGUUAAGCACCGUAGAACCUGUUAAGUACUUAAAUGGGUAACCUCAUGGGAAUAUCAGGUGAUGUAAG